rnacentral:rRNA from 1 species
UACGUAGGUGGCAAGCGUUGUCCGGAUUUACUGGGCGUAAAGAGCGCGCAGGCGGUCGUUCAAGUCGAGUGUGAAAGCCCCCGGCUCAACUGGGGAGGGUCACUCGAUACUGAUCGACUCGAAGGCAGAAGAGGGAAGCGGAAUUCCCGGUGUAGUGGUGAAAUGCGUAGAUAUCGGGAGGAACACCGGUGGCGAAGGCGGCGACCUGGGUAGAUACUGACGCUGAGGCGCGAAAGCGUGGGGAGCAAACAGG